rnacentral:rRNA from 1 species
GACGAACGCUGGCGGCGUGCUUAACACAUGCAAGUCGAACGAGGCUUUUCAAGAAGCUUGCUUCUUGAAAGACCGAGUGGCAAACGGGUGAGUAACGCGUAAACAACCUGCCCUCAGGAUGGGGACAACAGCUGGAAACGGCUGCUAAUACCGAAUACGAUCAAUCGGCCGCAUGGCCGGAUGAUGAAAGGAUGGCCUCUAUAUAUAAGCUAUCGCCGGAGGAGGGGUUUGGGUCUGAUUAGCUAGUUGGAGGGGUAACGGCCCACCAAGGCGACGAUCAGUAGCCGGUCUGAGAGGACGAACGGCCACAUUGGAACUGAGACACGGUCCAGACUCCUACGGGAGGCAGCAGUGGGGAAUCUUCCGCAAUGGGCGAAAGCCUGACGGAGCAACGCCGCGUGAGUGAAGACGGCCUUCGGGUUGUAAAGCUCUGUUAUAUGGGACGAACGUAUUUAUGGCCAAUACCCAUAGAUAGUGACGGUACCGUAAGAGAAAGCCACGGCUAACUACGUGCCAGCCGCCGCCGUAA